rnacentral:rRNA from 1 species
AUUAACGCUAGCGGCAGACAUAAUACAUGCAAGUUGAACGGCAGCACAGGUAGCAAUACUGGGUGGCGAGUGGCGCACGGGUGCGUAACACGUAUGCAACCUACCCUAUACAGGCGAAUAACCUUUAGAAAUGAGGGCUAAUACGCCGUAGUAUUACAGAUGGGCAUCUAUUUGUAAUUAAAGAUUUAUCGGUAUAGGAUGGGCAUGCGUCCCAUUAGUUAGUUGGUAAGGUAACGGCU